UACGUAGGGGGCAAGCGUUGUCCGGAAUCAUUGGGCGUAAAGAGCGUGUAGGCGGCCAGAUAAGUCCGCUGUGAAAUCUCGAGGCUCAACUUCGAGCUGUCGGUGGAAACUGUCUGGCUAGAGUCCGGAAGAGGAGAAUGGAAUUCCUGGUGUAGCGGUGAAAUGCGCAGAUAUCAGGAAGAACGCCCGUGGCGAAGGCGGUUCUCUGGGACGGUACUGACGCUGAGACGCGAAAGCGUGGGGAGCAAACAGG
rnacentral:rRNA from 1 species